rnacentral:rRNA from 1 species
GACGAACGCUGGCGGCGUGCUUAACACAUGCAAGUCGAACGGAAAGGCCCUGCUUUUGUGGGGUGCUCGAGUGGCGAACGGGUGAGUAACACGUGAGUAACCUGCCCUUGACUUUGGGAUAACUUCAGGAAACUGGGGCUAAUACCGGAUAGGAGCUCCUGCUGCAUGGUGGGGGUUGGAAAGUUUCGGCGGUUGGGGAUGGACUCGCGGCUUACCAGCUUGUUGGUGGGGUAGUGGCUUACCAAGGCUUUGACGGGUAGCCGGCCUGAGAGGGUGACCGGCAACAUGGGGACUGGGAUCCGGCCCAGACUCCAACGGGAGGAAGCAGUGGGGAAUAUGGCACAAGGGGGGGAAGCCUGAUGCAGCAACCCCGCGGGGGGGAGGACGGCCUUCGGGUUGUAAACCGUUUUCGCCUGUGACGAAGCGUGAGUGACGGUAAUGGUUAAAGAAGCACCGGCAAACUACGU